rnacentral:rRNA from 1 species
UACGUAGGGCGCAAGCGUUAUCCGGAAUUAUUGGGCGUAAAGAGCUCGUAGGCGGUUUGUCGCGUCUGCCGUGAAAGUCCGGGGCUCAACUCCGGAUCUGCGGUGGGUACGGGCAGACUAGAGGUAGGUAGGGGAGAAUGGAAUUCCCGGUGUAGCGGUGAAAUGCGUAGAGAUCGGGAGGAACACCAGUGGCGAAGGCGGCUCGCUGGGCCGGUCCUGACGCUGAGACGCGAAGGCGUGGGGAGCGAACGGG